rnacentral:rRNA from 1 species
GCCUACGGGGGGCAGCAGUAGGGAAUUUUCGUCAAUGGGCGCAAGCCUGAACGAGCAAUGCCGCGUGAACGAGGAAGGUCUUCGGAUCGUAAAGUUCUGUUGAAGGGGAAAAAGAGCGGAGAGAGGAAAUGGUCUCUGAUUGAUAUUACCCUUCGAGGAAGUCACGGCUAACUACGUGCCAGCAGCCGCGGUAAUACGUAGGUGGCGAGCGUUAUCCGGAAUGAUUGGGCGUAAAGGGUGCGUAGGCGGCCUGCUAAGUCUGGAGUGAAAGGUACCGGCUCAACCGGUACAGGCUCUGGAAACUG